AGUUUGAUCCUGGCUCAGGACGAACGCUGGUGGCGGGGCUAACACAUGCAAGUCGAACGAGGCUUUCCGGUGCUUGCACUGGAAAAUCGAGUGGCGAACGGGUGAGUAAUACAUGAGAAACCUGCCUUGGAGACGGGGACAACCUCGGGAAACUGAGGCUAAUACCCGAUAUCCCUGCCGAGUCGCAUGACUUGGCAAGAAAAUACUCAGGUGCUCCAAGAGGGUCUCAUGCCCUAUCAGCUUGUUGGUGAGGUAAAAGCUCACCAAGGCUUAGACGGGUAGCUGGUCUGAGAGGACGAUCAGCCACACUGGGACUGAGACACGGCCCAGACUCCUACGGGAGGCAGCAGUGGGGAAUCUUGCGCAAUGGGCGAAAGCCUGACGCAGCCACGCCACGUGUGGGACGACGGCCCUCGGGUUGUAAACCACUUUCAGCAGGGACGAAAAUGACGGUACCUGCAGAAGAAGCCCCGGCCAACUACGUGCCAGCAGCCGCGGUAACACGUAGGGGGCGAGCGUUGUCCGGAAUUACUGGGCGUAAAGGGCUCGUAGGCGGUUUGGUAAGUCAGAUGUGAAAACUCCAGGCUCAACUUGGAGACGCCAUCUGAUACUGCCAUGACUAGAGUUUGGUAGAGGAGUGCAGAAUUCCCGGUGUAGCGGUGAAAUGCGCAGAUAUCGGGAGGAAUACCAGUCAGCGAAGGCGGCACUCUGGGCCACAACUGACGCUGAGGAGCGAAAGCGUGGGGAGCGAACAGGAUUAGAUACCCUGGUAG
rnacentral:rRNA from 1 species